GAUGAAGAACGUAGCGAAAUGCGAUAAGUAAUGUGAAUUGCAGAAUUCAGUGAAUCAUCGAAUCUUUGAACGCACAUUGCGCCCGCGAGUAUUCUCGCGGGCAUGCCUGUCCGAGCGUCAUUUCAACCCUCAGGGCCCGCCUGCUUCGGCAGGCGCGGCGCUGGUGUUGGGGAUCGGCCUAACCGCCGUCCCCCAAAUACAGUGGCGGUCUCGCUGCAGCCUCCCCUGCGUAGUAGCAACACUCGCAUGCGGAGCGCGGCGCGGCCACGCCGUAAAACCCCCGACUUUCUGAACGUUGACCUCGGAUCAGGUAGGAAUAUCCGCUGAACUUAAGCAUAUCAAUAAGCGGAGGA
rnacentral:misc_RNA from 1 species